CCUACGGGUGGCAGCAGUGGGGAAUAUUGGACAAUGGAGGCAACCCUGAUCCAGCCAUGCCGCGUGUGUGAAGAAGGCCCUCGGGUUGUAAAGCACUUUCAGUGAGGAAGAACGCCUGGUGGUUAAUACCCAUCAGGAAAGACAUCACUCACAGAAGAAGCACCGGCUAACUCCGUGCCAGCAGCCGCGGUAAUACGGAGGGUGCGAGCGUUAAUCGGAAUUACUGGGCGUAAAGCGCGCGUAGGUGGCUUGAUAAGCCGGUUGUGAAAGCCCCGGGCUCAACCUGGGAACGGCAUCCGGAACUGUCAAGCUAGAGUGCAGGAGAGGAAGGUAGAAUUCCCGGUGUAGCGGUGAAAUGCGUAGAGAUCGGGAGGAAUACCAGUGGCGAAGGCGGCCUUCUGGACUGACACUGACACUGAGGUGCGAAAGCGUGGGUAGCAAACAGGAUUAGAUACCCGAGUAGUC
rnacentral:rRNA from 1 species